UUGGAGGGCAAGUCUGGUGCCAGCAGCCGCGGUAAUUCCAGCUCCAAUAGCGUAUAUUAAAGUUGUUGCAGUUAAAAAGCUCGUAGUUGAAUUUCGGGGUUAGUAGGUUGGUCAUGCCUCUGGUAUGUACUGGUCUCACUGAUUCCUCCUUCCUGAUGAACUGUAAUGCCAUUAAUUUGGUGUUGCAGGGAAUCUGGACUGUUACUUUGAAAAAAUUAGAGUGUUUAAAGCAGGCGCACGCUUGAAUACAUUAGCAUGGAAUAAUGAAAUAGGACGUUCGAUCCUAUUUUGUUGGUUUCUAGGAUUGACGUAAUGAUUAAUAGGGAUAGUUGGGGGCAUUAGUAUUCAAUUGUCAGAGGUGAAAUUCUUGGAUUUAUUGAAGACUAACUACUGCGAAAGCAUUUGCCAAGGAUGUUUUCAUUAAUCAAGAACGAAAGUUAGGGGAUCGAAGACGAUCAGAUACCGUCGUAGUCUUAACCAUAGACUAUGCCGACUAGGGAUCGGAUGAUGUUAAUUUUUUAAUGACUCAUUCGGCGCCUUACGGGAAAC
rnacentral:rRNA from 1 species